UACGGAGGGUGCGAGCGUUGUCCGGAAUCAUUGGGCGUAAAGGGCGCGUAGGUGGCCCGGUCAGUUCGUGGUGAAAGCGCGGGGCUCAACCCUGCGUCGGCCAUGAAUACUGCCGCGGCUGGAGCACUGUAGAGGCAGGCGGAAUUCCGGGUGUAGCGGUGGAAUGCGCAGAUAUCAGGAGGAACACCAAUAGCGAAGGCAGCUCGCUGGGACGUUACUGACACUGAGGCGCGAAAGCGUGGGGAGCGAACAGG
rnacentral:rRNA from 1 species